ensembl:lncRNA
CCAUGAUUACUUUAAGACAAGCUAGCAAGUACACACAUUUUCUUUAGGAAAUGUAAUUUUCCAUGUAUUAUUAUUUUCUCUUAGAUUCGGCACAGUGGGAGUUUUUGUUAAACUGAUAUUCAACGUCAAAACACCAGUCCCCACUGAGGAUCAUGUCCUUGAUGCCGUCAAGAAGCAAUUGUCUCCUCAAUUCACGACCACUCAAACCACCUUCCAGAAUGCAACUUAUAUCAGUGAGUUCAACAAAUAAGGCUUCAUGAAGACAUUUUUUUCCACUCUAUAAAAUAAUCUGUUAAUAAGUAAACAUUCAACUGCUCCUGCUAUCUAAAUACUUCUUGAAUGUUUUUUAAUGUUGUUGAAACUCCUAAAUUGUAGCAGUUAAUUUGAUCUGUUGCUAUAGUGACCAUUUUUUUGUGUGCUCACAGAACUUACAGAUACUUCAUUUGCCAUCGACCUUGGUUUCAAAAUAACCAAUGUAACCCAGGAGUCUCUAAGUAAUAGACUCACACUCACCAAUGAGACUGAAACCCAGAUACAGGAUUCAAUUAACAGACUAGUAAGAUACUGUACUUCUACACAUAAGAUACAUCCAUGGUCAUGUUCAGGUCAUGAUAGUAAUUGACAACUUGAUGUUUUGUCCCCUUUUAGCUCCAAAAGGUUCUCAGUGAACCAGAUGGCAAACAGUUUCAAUUUCCCAACGCCAACCUCAUGUAAGUACAACGUCAUAACCUUGAACCAACCCGUCUUUCUCAACUGCACUCUUUAGAAUUUCUGCAGAUUUCAUUUAGUUGCUGCUGGUACAGCUAAACAGGAUGAAAGGAACAUGUUUAACUCUCACACAAAACCCAUUUUUACGUCCACAGUGAUGAUGGCACUGAGAUCACGGCAAACGUGACGUAUGUAUACAAAGAGGAAGAUGUCAACCUCCCUAGUGGUUUUCUACAGGAAGUCUUAAAAGUCUCAGGUCUCCUGACCACCACUGUUGCCCCAACAACAACCACCAACACCACACCACUUCCUACCCUUUUGACUUCAGUGACAUCAACAACUAGGUAAGCAAGAUCAUUUAUUAUAAUGUUUUCAUACAAUUCAAUUAACACUUUGUCAAACAAGGAACCUUUGCAACAAUGAACCAUGUAUAUCCAUGCUUGUGUCGUUAACUACUGAUGUUUUAAUUAAAAGCAUCCAAAAUGUCAACCUUUCUUUAGAAAAGCUCUUUGAGUGCAUCAAUUGGUCAAAAGGCUUAAUAUAAAUCCAAUCCAUUAUAAUUAAUGUGCUUGCUGAAGGCAAGACCACUAGAUUUCUUACAUACUUUUUCUAAUUAUUUUAACAUUUUCUAAACGUUCUAAACUAAAACAAUUUAAAUGAGUAUAACUUAGCAUAUAAUAACCCACCAAAAAUAAUAUUAACUCUUGAACCGUUCAAGCUAGAGAGACCGAACCAACUUUCAUACGUUCAGGCUAUUCUUUCCUAUCCU